GACAGAGGGGGCAAGCGUUGCUCGGAAUUACUGGGCGUAAAGGGCGCGUAGGCGGGAUGGUAAGUCGGUCGUGAAAUCCCUCGGCUCAACCGAGGAACGUCGAUCGAUACUACCGUUCUUGAGGAUUGCAGAGGAGACUGGAAUUCCCGGUGUAGCGGUGAAAUGUGUAGAGAUCGGGAGGAACACCGGUGGCGAAGGCGGCUUCCUGGACCGACACUGACGCUGAGGCGCGAAAGCUAGGGGAGCAAACGGG
rnacentral:rRNA from 1 species